GAUGAACGCUGGCGGCGUGCCUAAUACAUGCAAGUCGAGCGAACAGACGAGGAGCUUGCUCCUCUGACGUUAGCGGCGGACGGGUGAGUAACACGUGGAUAACCUACCUAUAAGACUGGGGUAACUUCGGGAAACCGGAGCUAAUACCGGAUAAUAUAUUGAACCGCAUGGUUCAAUAGUGAAAGACGGUUUUGCUGUCACUUAUAGAUGGAUCCGCGCCGCAUUAGCUAGUUGGUAAGGUAACGGCUUACCAAGGCAACGAUGCGUAGCCGACCUGAGAGGGUGAUCGGCCACACUGGAACUGAGACACGGUCCAGACUCCUACGGGAGGCAGCAGUAGGGAAUCUUCCGCAAUGGGCGAAAGCCUGACGGAGCAACGCCGCGUGAGUGAUGAAGGUCUUCGGAUCGUAAAACUCUGUUAUUAGGGAAGAACAAAUGUGUAAGUAACUAUGCACGUCUUGACGGUACCUAAUCAGAAAGCCACGGCUAACUACGU
rnacentral:rRNA from 1 species